CGUGCCAGGGUUCCAUCGAGCAUCGCCGUCAGGAGCCGGCAAAGGUGCGGCCACCAAGCUCGGGGUGCUUCACGCCUAGUGGUUGCUGCCAAAUCUAAGGCCGAUCAAUCCGACCAUAUAUUUUCUACCUGCAAUUCUCCCACAUCAAGCUACUAAACAAAAUCGCUGGUGGGGUGAUGAACUGCCGUUGAUCUGUGCUUAUGGCAUCACAUCUAAAUCUUGAGAUGAUAAUGAAAUUUGUAAAUGCAAGCAUGGAGUAUAAGUGACCUCACAGGCGGGGUGUCUUCGGCUGCCGCGACUUCCAUGGCCAUGCGGUCGAUGAACGCAUGUGUGCCUUGGAUGCAGGAUAAGGCCAAAGUCUUGACCUGCGAUAUUCAUUUCUGUCCUAACGGUCGCCGACUUGCGGUUAAAGUACUCGAGGGCGGCGGGUAUGCGAGUACCAUCGUCGACUGAUUCUGCAUUAUGGCGCAAAUCGUCCUCAACCCACUCAGGGAAGUCUCACGCCCUCUCCUAGCACUCUCUUUCGGUGUGGUCCUCUUUGGUCUCACUAGGGAAAGGUCCAUGUGGCCGCAUAGACAUGGUAACGGUGGAAGAGAGAAUGAGGGGGGUGGCCGACGAAGAGAGGUGAUGGGAUGAGUGUGCCGAUGUCGUGGAAGAGGGUGGAUGUGGUGGCGUCGAGAUGGGGGUUUAUAUACUCGCAAAUGGGUGCGCUUCGGUGGGAAACGAGGGGAGGGGAAUUCGCCACGUGCGGGUAGGAAACAAGUGUGAAAUGCAACGACGACCAUUAAUUAACGCUCUUCUAAGUGGAUAAACGGAUAUUCACAGGGAUGGAAGUGGCAAUUGUACGUACGACAACACCAUUGACGGGUUGCGCGGGGGACUAAGAGGUUGUGCUAGAACUUCCCCGUGCGAGCAAUCUUGGAUGGAGGUCCUUCCAUAUCAACGCCCUAAGCCUCCAAAUAUGAAGGCUCGCGGACUGGAUUAUGCAGGACGAUAAGCAAAUGACGACUUUGUUAGAAUUACACUUCCUACCAAAAUUACCAUAUCGACACGUUACGAUUCCAUUAGACUGAUAUACCACUAAAAAGAUCAGACUGAUAUAACAACAAUGCUAGAAUUGCUAGGGCCAUGGGGUGUGGUGGAUCCCGACACUUGCCAGCAGGAGGGCUCCAUUUUUAGAUGUUUCUUUGAGCUUAGUUAGGGUUUGUGUCCUGCUCAGGAAGACGAGACGACGGCGGCUCCCUGAAGAUGGAAUAAGGUUCUCCCCGCUCAUCUCGAUGGUGCGUCUAGUAUCAUCGGAUGGCGUGUGGAUGUCUGUCUCUGACGGAUCUCGCAUGAUUCGGUCAGGGGUUGUCUUCGGUGGAUCUGGUAGAUCUGGUCUUCGAUUAUCUCCGUUCAUGUGUCUUCUGGUUGGGUCCUUCUGAUCUAUAUUUAUCUUCAUCGGUGGUGGUUGUUGUUCUGAUGCGCUGGUCCUCACUAGUAGAAAGAGGGUCUUUAGUCCCGGUUCAUAAGGGGCCUUUAGUCCCGGUUCUGGAAUCGGGACUAAAGGGUCAUUACUAAAGCCUCCCCCUUUAGUCCCGGUUCUUACACGAACCGGGACUAAAGGCCGUCCACGUGGCCGCUUCCUGGAGGUCCACCUUUAGUCCCGGUUGGUAACACCAACCGGUACUAAAGGAAAUUUUAUGAUUUCUUUUUGAAAUU